rnacentral:lncRNA from 1 species
GUUUACAACCUAAUUAAGGAAAGAAAUAAUAGGUAAUGAAAGCUAGAAUUAAUGGGUGAUUAAAGUUGUACAAAUUAAAUCAAAUCAAAUCACUAACAAAUUUGUCCUAAUAAAUAGAGAAUGGAAUGUGCACUUAAUUACGGAAUCAUUCUCCUGAUUAUGCAACAAUAACCUUGACUCUUAAUAUCUGAGGCCCAAGUAUCAUAAUUGGUUACAUCCAAUUUGUCAAUGGAGAGAUGAACAUUGACAUAAUUAGUAUAUAUAGACGGAUCAGGCAUAGUGGCAGCGGAAGAAGCUAUACAUGACAAGGACAAGUCCAGUCACCGACCAAUUGGCGGCAACAACGACGACGACUCCGGCGAGACUCCAGUGGCAGCUUUGGCAAACUCUGACGGUGACUCUGGUGGCAGCUCUGAUGGUGACUUCGGUGGCAGCUCCAAUGAAGACUCCGGCGUCAAGGAGGCGGUGGGACGACGGCUGGAAAAUACCAAUGAACAGUGGGUUCACCAAAAAAAAUUGAAUCUUUAACCUAUGCUCUAGAUACCAUAUUAAAAUAAAAUAUAAGAAUAAUAUAAAUACCUUGUGUAUAUAGAACACAUAGGCUUAUGUUUAUAUAAUAAAAAAAAACAUAUGGACUAAACCCAUUACAUAAAUAGAAAUAUCUAACAAUAUCUAUAAUAUCUAAUAAUAUCUAACCAAAAUUCCUCCUUGAUAAGAGAAAAUUUUGGCCUCAUGAUAUUUAUUGUUAUGAGCUGCAUCGGUAAACACCUAAAAACAUUGAGACAAUGCCACUUGGAGCCCCC